CGAGCGCGCCUGAAGCCAAAAUUUUGAAUUCGACACAGCCAGAAAAGCUAUAGGGUAGAGCCGCGAGGCCCGCGACCGCAAGUGCGAGGUCAUCAGUGCAUCACUUCCUCACCUCAGCUUAGCUUCAGGUACCACCACUCUUCCCUGUUUCAGUAACCUAGAGGAGCUCUUCAAUUUCUGAAUUUCUCCCGUUCGAUUGCUGUAAUAUAGCCGAGGAUCUGAAGAAGACGGCAGCCAUAGGUUCAAAAUUUCCAGCAUUCCCCAGGAAAAUGUUAGAAAAGGGCUUUCCAGCAACCGAACGAACUGAGACAAAGGCAUUGACGUAGGUGAAAGGCGAAUUCAAGGACGUUAGCAAUGGUGCUUAGGAGUGAGAGAGUGCGUUUCAACCAGAAUAAAGAGUACGAGACAGAAAUUACGGAGCUCAAGAUGUUGGUGGAGGAGAAAAAUACAGAAGGAAUACAGUUCAGGAGAUUCAGCGACUCCUGAUAUUCCUGAUGACAUGCUUCUCAAAGACUUGAAUCCUUGUUUGACACCUUAUUUUGCCAUGACAAAGUCUAAAGAGCUUGAGAUGAUGGGUUGUGAAUCUCCAAACGAGGAGCAGUUGUUUAGAAGCGUGGAAUGAUAACUCCUUAGUGUCUCAUCAGGAGAAACUGUCCAAGAGCUCUGAGUGUUGCCAAAGACCAAGUUUGAGGAGUGCAGCUGGAACUGUGGCGCGCAGGUUGGAUGAGAAUAAAUAUAUUAAUGGAAAGCUAAUGUAUCAAAAGCAUUUUUUUGAAUGUGAGUUGCCAUUGGCUCAAGUUGCACUCCAAAUACCAUUUCCUUCUCCCUUCUCUCUAAAUAGUUUGUUUAUUUGGUUUGUUGCAGUAAUCUGUAAUGACAUAGUAGGAAUUAAUGGGCUUUACUUAUAUCUCAUCAAAAUAAACCUGAUGGUGUAUUGUAAUCAACUAAUGUCGGGCAUUGCUCUAAUUGCAAUUGGUUGGAGACUCAGAAUUGACCAAUGAGAAAAAGUCACCAGAAAGGUUGCUUAA